GACGAACGCUGGCGGCGUGCUUAACACAUGCAAGUCGAACGGAAAGGCCCUGCUUUUGUGGGGUUCUCGAUUGGCGAACGGGUGAGUAACACGUGUGUAACCUCCCCUUGUCUUUGGGAUAACUUCAGGAAACUGGGGAUAUUAUCGGGUAUGAUCUCCUGCUCCGUGUGGGGCGUUGGAAAGUGUCGGCGGUUGGGGCUGGUCUCGCGGCUUAUCAGCUUGUUGGUCGGGUAGUGGCGUACCAAGGCUUUGACGGGUAGGCGGCCUGAGAGAGGGACCGGGGACAUUGGGACUGAGAUACGGACCAGUCUCCUACGGGAGGCAGCAGUGGGGAAUAUGGCACAGUGGGCGGAAGCCUGAUGCAGCAACGCCGCGUGCGGGAUGACGGCUUUCUGGGUGUAAACAGCUUUCGACUGUAACGAAGCGUGAGUGACGGUAAUGGGUAAAGAAGCACCGGCUAACUACGUG
rnacentral:rRNA from 1 species